GUAUGGGGGGCAAACAUAAAGUGGCUAACAGAACAAAAAAUAAUGCUAGGCCUUCAAGCAGUGGAAGGAGUGCAGAAUUCCUGGGAUCAUCUAUUCCCCAAUUUGUUGGAUUUUCAGGACUCAAAGAUUCCACAUUGGGCUUUUGUCUGGCUACUACAGAUGAUUUGGAUGCAUCUGUAGAUCCCAAUGUUCAAGUUAUUUUGAAAAAGAUAACUAAAAAAGAUCACACAACAAAAAUAAAGGUAGUGUUGCCUGUACUUACUGUUGCAAUUGUCAAAAUAGUUUGAAUAAUCUUGAUAUAAAAUGAAAUGACAAACAUUGAGAAAUUUUUGUAGAAAAUAAAUUAUUCGCUUGA